AACGAACGUUGGCGGCGUGGAUUAGGCAUGCAAGUCGAACGAAUCCCACUGCUGUAGCAAUACAGUGGUGGGGGAAGUGGCGAAAGGGGCAGUAAUGCGUGGGUAAUCUACCCUGGGGACCGGGAUAGCUCUUCUAACGAGGAGGUAAUACCGGGCAACGUGAUUGAGGGGCAUCUCUUGAUCACCAGAUGAAUUUCGCCCUGGGAGGAGCUCACGUCGUAUUAGCUAGUUGGUGAGGUAACGGCCCACCAAGGCAAAGAUGCGUAGCGGGUGUGAGAGCACGACCCGCGCCACUGGCACUGAGACACUGGCCAGACACCUACGGGUGGCUGCAGUCGAGGAUCUUUGGCAAUGGGCGCAAGCCUGACCAAGCGACGCCGCGUGUGCGAUGAAGGCCUUCGGGUUGUAAAGCACUGUCGAGGGGGAUCAAGGCGCAAGCUUGAGAGAUCCCUGGAGGAAGCACGGGCUAAGUUCGUGCCAGCCGCCGCGGUAAAAC
rnacentral:rRNA from 1 species